rnacentral:rRNA from 1 species
GACGAACGCUGGCGGCGUGCUUAACACAUGCAAGUGGAGCGACGAACCAGGCUUCGGCCUGGGGCAAAGCCGCGAACGGGUGAGUAACACGUGGGUAACCUGCCCUGAUGACCGGGACAACCCGAGGAAACUCGGGCUAAUACCGGAUGUGCUCCCACCACACCAGUGGUGUGAGUAAAGGUAGCUUCGGCCUCCGCAUCGGGAUGGGCCCGCGGCGCAUUAGCUUGUUGGUGGGGUAAAGGCCACCAAGGCAACGAUGCGUAGCUGGUCUGAGAGGACGAUCAGCCACACUGGGACUGAGACACGGCCCAGACUCCUACGGGAGGCAGCAGUGGGGAAUCUUGCGCAAUGCGCGAAAGCGUGACGCAGCAACGCCGCGUGAGUGAAGAA